UACGGAGGGUGCGAGCGUUGUCCGGAAUCACUGGGCGUAAAGGGCGCGUAGGCGGCGCGGGAAGUCCGUGGUGAAAGCCCGAGGCUCAACUUCGGGUCGGCCAUGGAUACUCCUGGGCUCGAGCACUGUAGAGGCAGGUGGAAUUCCGGGUGUAGCGGUGGAAUGCGUAGAGAUCCGGAAGAACACCGGUGGCGAAGGCGGCCUGCUGGGCAGUAGCUGACGCUGAGGCGCGAAAGCGUGGGGAGCAAACAGG
rnacentral:rRNA from 1 species